rnacentral:rRNA from 1 species
UACCCCUACGGGGCGCAGCAGUGGGGGAUAUUGCACAAUGGGGGAAACCCUGAUGCAGCGACGCCGCGUGAGUGAAGAAGUAUUUCGGUACGUAAAGCUCUAUCAGCAGGGAAGAAUAAUGACGGUACCUGACUAAGAAGCCCCGGCUAACUACGUGCCAGCAGCCGCGGUAAUACGUAGGGGGCAAGCGUUAUCCGGAUUUACUGGGUGUAAAGGGAGCGUAGACGGCAGCGCAAGUCUGGAGUGAAAUGCCGGGGCUCAACCCCGGAACUGCUUUGGAAACUGUG